GCCUCUGUAGCUACUGUUGGUUAGAGCGCUGCACCGGAAUCGCAGGGCCGUAGGUUCAACUCCUACCAGAGGAC